rnacentral:rRNA from 1 species
GACGAACGCUGGCUGCGUGCUUAACACAUGCAAGUCGAACGCUGAAGCCAGAAGCUUGCUUCUGGUGGAUGAGUGGCGAACGGGUGAGUAACACGUGAGUAACCUGCCCCUGAUUUCGGGAUAAGCCUGGGAAACCGGGUCUAAUACCGGAUACGACCAUCCCUCGCAUGAGGGUUGGUGGAAAGUUUUUCGAUCGGGGAUGGGCUCGCGGCCUAUCAGCUUGUUGGUGGGGUAGUGGCCUACCAAGGCGACGACGGGUAGCCGGCCUGAGGGGGCGACCGGCCACACUGGGACGUGGACACGGCCCAGACUCCUACGGGAGGCAGCAUGGGGGAAUAUUGCACAAUGGGGGAAACCCUGAUGCAGCGACGCAGCGUGCGGGAUGACGGCCUUCGGGUUGUAAACCGCUUUCAGCAGGGAAGAAGCGAAAGUGACGGUACCUGCAGAAGAAGUACCGGCUAACUACGUGCCAGCCGCCGCCGUAA